rnacentral:rRNA from 1 species
UACGUAGGGGGCAAGCGUUGUCCGGAAUCAUUGGGCGUAAAGAGCGCGUAGGCGGCCCAGUAAGUCCGCUCUGAAAGUCAGGGGCUCAACCCCUGAAUGCGGGUGGAUACUGCUGGGCUAGAGUCCGGAAGAGGCGAGUGGAAUUCCUGGUGUAGCGGUGAAAUGCGUAGAUAUCUGGAGGAACACCGGUGGCGAAGGCGGCAUCCUGGACCGACACUGACGCUGAGGAGCGAAAGCCAGGGGAGCAAACGGG